AUUGAACGCUGGCGGCGUGCUUAACACAUGCAAGUCGAUCGGUAACAGGUGUAGCAAUACAUGCUGACGAGAGGCGGACGGGUGAGUAAUGCUUGGGAAUCUGCCUAUUAGUGGGGGACAACCCGGGGAAACUCGGGCUAAUACCGCAUACGCUCUACGGAGGAAAGCCGGGGACCGCAAGGCCUGGCGCUAAUAGAUGAGCCCAAGUCGGAUUAGCUAGUUGGUAGGGUAACGGCCUACCAAGGCGACAAUCCGUAGCUGGUCUGAGAGGACGACCAGCCACACCGGAACUGAGACACGGUCCGGACUCCUACGGGAGGCAGCAGUGGGGAAUAUUGGACAAUGGGGGCAACCCUGAUCCAGCGACGCCGCGUGGGUGAAGAAGGCCUGCGGGUUGUAAAGCCCUUUCGGUGGGGAAGAAAGUCUCGACCUAAUACGUCGGGACCUUGACGUAACCCACUAAAGAAGCACCGGCUAACUCUGUGCCAGC
rnacentral:rRNA from 1 species